AGUCGACACACUGUCAGAGCUGAAGAUGGCCGACUGAAGUUCAGCAGGACAGAAGAUAAAAAUACAGAUUAAACAGCCGACUGAACAAAAGGAGAAGAAAUGAGAUUAAAAUAAGAGGAAAUCAAACAUCUGGACACAAAGUCUCAUCGUUACACUCAGCUCCUCUCUUCAUCCUCCUCCUUCUCUUCAUCAUGCCGACCAUCCACCAGCCUACACCAAUCUCUCCUCCAGUAUCUCAUGUGACGCCUUUAGAGACACCGCCCUUCACCUCCCUCCUGCCGGUGACCUCUCACCCCAUCACCAACAUCACCACCUUCCCCACCUCCACCCACACUAACUCCACCGCCAAUCCAGCUGCCGUCGCCGUCGCAGGCUUCGUUAACAAUAUUCUGAAUAAGAUCCCCUUGCCUCGCUGGGCGGUGUACGCCAUCUUUGCGGUCGGCGCUGUGCUGAUUCUGCUCUGCUGUCUGUGUGCCUGCAUCUACUGCUGCCGCAAAAGGAAUAAGAAUAAGAAGCGGCAGAAGAAGAGUAAGGAGAACAUCAGUCUGAACGGCGUGAACGGAAAAACCACCACAGCUCUGGUUCAGCCUGAUGUGACCGAUGUGGACUACGGCUCGACCAAACAGCAGAGAGGGAAGAUGCUCUACUCUCUGGACUACAACGCUGCUCAGUCUGAGCUCACAGUCGGGAUCAAACAAGCCAACAGCCUGAUGGCCAUGGACCUGGGAGGAAACUCGGACCCAUACGUCAAAGUCUACAUCCUCCCCAACAAAUCCAAAACCUUCGAGACCAAAGUGUUCAGAAGCACGCUGAACCCCGUCUUCAACGAACAAUUCGCCUUCCAGAUAUCCAAGUCUUCCCUCCUGAAGUCAACGGUGGUGAUGCAGGUUUUUGACUUCAACAGAUUCUCCAAACACAACAUCAUCGGUGAGCUCAGGGUGCAGCUCUGCAACGUCGACUGGAACCACGUCAUCGAGGAGUGGCAGGACCUCGCCGAGCCCGCCAAGUUUGAGGAAGAAAACCUGGGAGAGAUCUGCCUCUCUCUGCGCUACGUUCCCACCGCCGCCAAACUGACUGUGGUGAUCCUGGAGGCCAAAAACCUGAAGAGCAUGGACACCAUCGGAACUUCAGGUCAGACUGAAAUAAGAUCUCACAUCAGAAUCAUCCAGUUCUCCACAAGAGUCUCUAACGGUUCGGUUAGGGUUAUCGUCCAUCAACAGAGGGAGCACAAAGCUUCAUCCAGACUCAGCAGGACUAAUAAAUUAUUAUAGCUGCAAUACACAAUAAUUCAACACAUGAAUGGGUGUGAAAAGAACCAAUGAAACAACAGGACUGACGUGUGUUUAUCCCCGUUUAGACUUCUGUCCUAACUGCUUACUGGAAGAGUCUGUUUGAGACUUUUAGUCAUUCUGUUAAGAAAUCAAGUAUUAAAUCAGGUCAAAUAUAAGUGUUAUCAAUAUGAGCGACGCAUGCUGUGGUACUGAAUUCGACCUCUUCCUGUCUAGCUGUAGUACAGCAGUAGACAGCCGUCACAUAGUGAUGGCCAAACGGUAGAGUUUUUUUAAACAGGAGUUGUGCAGAUUUGCAGGAAAACCCAAUCAGUCACUCAUAUAUCUGUUAAAAAUGCCAUUCAACAAGCUCGCCCCACACACACACACACACACACACACACACACACACACACACACGAGCUAUCACACAUGCAAAGACACAAGCAGACAACACGGAGCUCGUCAUGUGAUUUAAACAGAGCAGGCAGCAGAAUCACUUGCUGACCGGUGCAGAGAGGUGUCAACAGGCAGGCGACUGCUGAUGGCCGUCAGCGUGAGAUUUAACAAAUCGUGGCGCUUCAGUGUGAAUCUGAUUAAAUAUUUCCCCACCUUAGCCAGAGCCUGCAGGUGGAUGUUGGGGUGGAGGUGGGGCUGAAAGAGCAGGCAGCAGUUCUGGUGCAGGGCAGCAGCGGUCACAAGGCAAAGACAGGGCUGGGAAGAGUUUGCAGCUUAAAUAGACCGCCACAUUGGGAGGGCGUGUUUUGUAGAUGACGUGGAGUGACGUAUGACGUGUGUGUAUGAAUCAGCGCAGCUCGAGUUGACUGCCUGGACUAGCUCGCAGGCAUCGCUCCAUUUCUGGCAGGCUUUCAUCAGAACCAGAAAAAGGACAACAAACACAAAAAUAAACUCAAAAAUCAGAUAGUUUUUAAAUAUUUUUUGAGAGGACACAAGAGGACACUGGAGCCCACCUACAAUGCAUCAGUGACUAUGUUUGCAACAUAGACUAUACCAAUAAUGAAUGUAGCUUCAGUGACAUCACCCAUUGGUUUGUGAUUUGUGAAGACUCGAGUCGGGCUUUUUGGCUGCCGCCAUCUUGGUGUUUUAAAGCCAGGCCCAGAAGUGACCCUUUUUGGGCGAGAGGGUGGAGCUUGUGAGGAGCGAGGGGUGGAUCUGACUCACAGACUGUAGCAACACCUCACAGACGGUCUGUCACUCAAAGCAGCCACGCCCUUAAUUCUGCCUAACUUUAAGCCUUAAUAAAAUGUAAACGGGUGAGCCAUAUAAAAAUUCAGCCCCUGUACAGGUGUCAUGACUGUUGAAAUUACCGGUUGUGUGUACCAGGCUGAAAACAUGUUUAUUUCUGCUGUAAAUCCGGGCAUUUUUACAUUUUGACUCACUCUUGGAGUCAGCCUCAAGUGGCCAUUAGAGGAACUGCAGAUGUGCAUUGGCUCCAUUUUUCAGCCUUGGAGGUUGCUGCUUGGUUUACAUGCACAAAAUAUUCUGGUUAUUCUGAAUAAUAAUGGAAUAUUAGUGUGCAUGUAAACUUAGUCAAAUAAGGGAGACACAGCUCACAGAGGUGAUACAGGACGUAGGCUGCAACAACAGGAUGGAGGUAUGUUAUGCUUUGUUAGUGCACUCGCAUCACUGCAAAGCGAGAACUAACUGGAUCAAAUAUAAUAAAAAUACAAACCUUGGUUCGGAUGUUCAGGUGUGAAAAGAUCCUCAGUGUUGGUCUGAGCUGUCGGUGUGACUAAAUGUGACAUUAACAGUCCUCUAUAGUUGAAAGUUAAAGUAGACAACAACAUUGUUAGUGUGUGAGCAGAGGUCCUCACUGACUGUAGCCAAAACAGGUAACUAAUCACCAACCACCACUGGUUACUGUUAAUUCAUUAAUUAUUUAUUAAUUAUUCUUCAUCAUGAUGUUUUAAAUCAUUUUUUAAUGUGAUCCAGGGAAAAAUCAAUCAAACUGGUGUUGGGUUGUUUUGAUAAGAUGUGUAAAUGAAAUGAUAAUCUUUAUAAAUCAUAUUUUUUUUAUUGUGCAAUUCCAGGAAAAUGAAUCAAGCUGAUGUUGAUUUGUUGCUUUUAAAGAAUCUGUUUUUGCAAAUAAACUCAUAAAUUUCUGCUGUGGGUCAUAAUAAUAAUAAUGAUAAUAAACAAUGUGUGGUUGGAGGUCUGACAGGUGAAAUCAGUCAUUACCUCCAUCAGCGGGACUUUUUGUUUUUUAAUUGGGUUUCUGAGAAACAUGUCAGUAAACAGAUUUCAGUUAAAGGUCCAGUCUGUAGGAUUUAGGGGGAUAUUCUGGCUGAAAUAUAAUAUAAUAUAAGUAUGUUUUCUUUAGUGUACAGUCACCUGAAAAUAAGGCUGCUUUCACACCUGCCCUGUUUGGUUCAGUUCAGUCAAACUCAAGUUCAUUUGCCCCCUCAGUGCGGUUCGUUUGUGCAGGUGUGAACACAGCAAUCACACUCAGGUGUGAACACAGCAAAACAACCGGACCGAGACCUUCUUGAAGAGGUGGUCUCAGUCCGGUUCCAAAGGAACUCUGGUGCGGUUGGUUUGUGGUGAGAAGGUGUUGCGACCUGGAUGUGAAGCAACUGCAGUCACAUGACACAUUGUUUGGGUUAAACAUGAGCAUGUUACAGUCCUGGAGGAUUAUUAAUGUGCACCUCCUCCUGUACUGCCUUAAUAUGCACAUUCAGCACAUCCAAUGCAUCAAAACAUUGUUUUCUAGUUGGAGCCGCGUUUGCCUCGUUUUCAAACUGUAUGCUUUGACUAAAAUGAACAAUGACAGCAAUAUAGUCCACGAUGAGCAGCGCUAACAUCAACCUGCGUAGUUGUCCCUCCAUUGUGACAUUAGAAAGUGUCACAUUUAUCUUGCAAGUGUACUCUUCUUCAACGUUUGCUUUACUUCCUGGAUUUUUCCCACAUGGAAAUUCUGACCAAUCAAGAGCAGCUUUCUCACACA